rnacentral:rRNA from 1 species
UACGGAGGGUGCAAGCGUUGUUCGGAAUUACUGGGCGUAAAGCGUGCGCAGGCGGUUUUGUAAGCCAGAUGUGAAAUCCCCGGGCUUAACCUGGGAAUGGCAUUUGGGACUGCAAGGCUUGAGUGCGGCAGAGGAGACUGGAAUUCCCGGUGUAGCAGUGAAAUGCGUAGAUAUCGGGAGGAAUACCGAUGGCGAAGGCAGGUCUCUGGGCUGACACUGACGCUCAUGCACGAAAGCGUGGGGAGCAAACAGG